GGGCGCAAGCCUGAUGCAGCGACGCCGCGUGAGGGAUGAAGGCCUUCGGGUUGUAAACCUCUUUCAGUAGGGAAGAAGCGAAAGUGACGGUACCUGCAGAAGAAGCGCCGGCUAACUACGUGCCAGCAGCCGCGGUAAUACGUAGGGCGCAAGCGUUAUCCGGAAUUAUUGGGCGUAAAGAGCUCGUAGGCGGUUUGUCGCGUCUGCCGUGAAAGUCCGGGGCUUAACCCCGGAUCUGCGGUGGGUACGGGCAGACUUGAGUGAUGUAGGGGAGACUGGAAUUCCUGGUGUAGCGGUGAAAUGCGCAGAUAUCAGGAGGAACACCGAUGGCGAAGGCAGGUCUCUGGGCAUUAACUGACGCUGAGGAGCGAAAGCAUGGGGAGCGAACAGGAUUAGAUACCCUGGUAGUCCAUGCCGUAAACGUUGGGCACUAGGUGUGGGGGACAUUCCACGUUUUCCGCGCCGUAGCUAACGCAUUAAGUGCCCCGCCUGGGGAGUACG
rnacentral:rRNA from 1 species